CGUAGGUGGCAAGCGUUGUCCGGAUUUAUGGGUUUAAAGGGUGCGUAGGCGGCCCCGUAAGUCAGUGGUGAAAUAUCUCAGCUUAACUGAGAGGGUGCCAUUGAUACUGCGGGGCUUGAGUACAGAUGAGGUAGGCGGAAUUGACGGUGUAGCGGUGAAAUGCAUAGAUAUCGUCAAGAGCUCCGAUAGCGAAGGCAGCUUACUAAGCUGUAACUGACGCUGAGGCACGAAAGUGUGGGGAUCAAACAGGAUUAGAUACCCUGGUAGUCCACACUGUAAACGUUGAUGACUCGAUGUUGGCGAUACACAGCCAGCGUCCAAGAGCAAUCGUUAAGUCAUCCACCUGGGGAGUACGCCGGCAACGGUG
rnacentral:rRNA from 1 species